AUGCUACAACAUGAAGAAACCUUGCAAACAUGAUAGUAGUCACUAAGAACUAUGGGAGCCUGGAGCUAUAUGAAGCCUGGCCAUGAAUAAAAUCAGCAAA